AAUGGAUAACUGGGUCAAAUGGUUGUUCCAUUCCAAAUUUUCUGAGGAAUCUACAUACUGCUUUCUAGAGUGGUUGCACCAAUUUGCAGUCCCAUCAGCAAU
rnacentral:pre_miRNA from 1 species